rnacentral:rRNA from 1 species
AUUGAACGCUGGCGGCAUGCUUUACACAUGCAAGUCGAACGGCGGCGCGGGCUUCGGCCUGUCGGCGAGGGGCGUACGGGUGAGUAAUACAUCGGAACGUGCCUAGUGGUGGGGUAAAGCGCGGCGAAAUCCGGAUUAAUAGCGCAUACGACCUGGGGGUGAAAGCGAGGGGUCCUCUGACGUAUCGCUAGGGGAGCGAACGAUGGCAGAUUAACUAGGUGGUGGGGUAAAGGCCUACCAAGGCUACGAUCUGUAGCUGGUCUGAAAGGAACACUCGCCAGCCGAGCAGUGAGACACGGCCGAGACUCCUACGGGAGGCAGCAGUGGGGAAUUUUGGACAAUGGGGGAAAGCCUGAUACAGCAAUGCGGAGUGUGUGAUGAAGGACUUAGGGUUGUAAAGUAAAUAUGGCGGGAACGAAAAGGACUGUGACCAUACCACGGUUUGAUGACGGUACCCGCAGAAUAAGCACCGGCUAACUACGUG